GCUUUGUCCUGAGCUGUUCUGUGAGCUGUGCUCCUUCUGGGAUAUGUGAUAAGGAUAUGUCACAAGGAAAGCCUGGAAUACAAUGGGGUAUUGAGAGGAAGCUUUUAUGCAAGGCAGUGGUUUCUGAGAUUUGUGGGACAAGCCUGGGUAAAAUUCAAAUGCCUGUGUGAUUUAAUCCAUUCGGAGCUGUUGCACUAAAUCACAGUAGCUGUUGCUGACAUCCAGCCCACAGAAACCUGGAAGCUGAUGAUAUAAGUUUAUCUGCGUAUCUACAGGGCUUGCAGCAUGGAUGCAGAUCUUCAGCAUAUCUGGAGGAGUUGAGAGACUUGAGAUUGCUCAGCCAACCUGUCCAUGAAGCCAAAAAAUGCCACUGAAACCCCUGGGGGUGCUCUGUCUCAACAGGAGCUCUGUUUCUGGGAUGAAGGAGCACUCAGCGUCCAUACCCUCAGUAUUUUGUGUUAGGAGGAAAUGUUCUUUCCUGACGUCUUUAAAUUUCACCCCUUAAUGGAGAGGAGAAGUAGGCACUGAUUGCAGUCAGUGUGCAGAUUGCUCCAUGUUGGUGCACUGUAGCUGCCUUCAAUUUCUGCACCUCACUGACCUGUAACCAUGUGGGACGGGGAAUGGAGAGCAUCUCUGUGUGCAGAAUGUGGUGGGUGAGUUCCUCCAGCACUUGCCUGCCCUGCUUCAUCCACCUGUGCCCAUGGAGCAGCCCCUGUUCCAACUCCUGCCUUGUGUGUUCCCAUCUCCUUUUCUUUUCUUUCCAUUGCAAGCUCAGUUUGUAGUUAUACAGUCAGGUCUCCACAGAGUAAUUUACUGGCAGAAUCUCUCCCAGAAUCCAGCUUGAAACCAAGCUGUAAAAACAGCUGAGAGUGUAAAUAAUUCAUGCAGACAAUAUGACUUUUUUAUGUAAAUUCGGUGCAUUAACCCUCUAUUAUAAUGAUGGACGACAGAUAUGGGCGACGUUGCCUUGGUAAGAGCUAAUGGAUGGCCACCAUAAAUUCACUGCACAUUUUAUUGUGUUGCUGGAAAUUGUGCCUUCAGGCAAUGCUGUUUACUUUUAUGUAAAACUCAGGGUUCCCUAAAUAUUACAAAUAUUUUACAUCAGACUCCUCAGCAUUUGGGCACAGCACACAAAUCAAGCUUUCUUCAUCUGAGUUGUAAUUAAAGGUUUGUUAUUUUUUUCGGGGACAAUUAUCUAAAACUAUAAAGAGAAAUAUUUUUUCCCUUUAGAUGUUCAGUCAUUGACUUAUUAGCAAAACCUUUGAAGAAAGAUAUUAAAUAACUGCAGCGUAUAACUU
rnacentral:lncRNA from 7 species